rnacentral:rRNA from 1 species
UACGGAGGGAGCUAGCGUUGUUCGGAAUUACUGGGCGUAAAGCGCGCGUAGGCGGCUUUGUAAGUUAGAGGUGAAAGCCUGGAGCUCAACUUCAGAAUUGCCUUUAAGACUGCAUCGCUUGAAUCCGGGAGAGGUGAGUGGAAUUCCGAGUGUAGAGGUGAAAUGCGUAGAGAUCCGGAGGAACACCAGUGGCGAAGGCGGCUCACUGGCCCGAUACUGACGCUGAGGCACGAAAGCGUGGGGAGCAAACAGG